GGAAGGGGUGUAUUUAUUAGAUAAAAAACCAAUGCGGGCAACCGCUUCUUUGGUGAUUCAUGAUAACUUCUCGAAUCGCACGGCCUUGCGCCGGCGAUGGUUCAUUCAAAUUUCUGCCCUAUCAACUUUCGAUGGUAGGAUAGUGGCCUACCAUGGUUUCAACGGGUAACGGGGAAUUAGGGUUCUAUUCCGGAGAGGGAGCCUGAGAAACGGCUACCACAUCCAAGGAAGGCAGCAGGCGCGCAAAUUACCCAAUCCCGACACGGGGAGGUAGUGACAAUAAAUACUGAUACAGGGCCCUUUCGGGUCUUGUAAUUGGAAUGAGUACAAUUUAAAUCCAUUAACGAGGAACAAUUGGAGGGCAAGUCUGGUGCCAGCAGCCGCGGUAAUUCCAGCUCCAAUAGCGUAUAUUAAAGUUGUUGCAGUUAAAAAGCUCGUAGUUGAACCUUGGGUCUGGACGACCGGUCCGCCUCACCGUGAGUACUGGGAGUCUGGACCUUUCCUUCUGGCAAACCUCAUGCCCUUCACUGGGUGUGCUGGGGAACCAGGACUUUUAC
rnacentral:rRNA from 1 species